GUUCUUAUAACUUAUAUAGAGUUUAAUAUUGAAAGUAUUAAUGAGUAGUGUCUACUAGGAAUA
rnacentral:tRNA from 1 species